rnacentral:lncRNA from 1 species
CGCACAUCCAUCCUUCACACGCACAUCCAUCCUUCACACCCACAUCCAUCCUUCACACGCACAUCCAUCCUUCACACGCACAUCCAUCCUUCACACGCACAUCCAUCCUUCACACCCACAUCCAUCCUUCACACCCACAUCCAUCCUUCACACGCACAUCCAUCCUUCACACCCACAUCCAAACAUUUUUUUAAUCCAGCUUUUCAUCUCCAUCCUCAGUGCCAUCCU